UGGAAUUUUGCAUUUGUGGAUUACAAGAUUUACUAGAAAACUCUUGCGAUGGUCGUCUACCCCUAUGGCAGGCGCAUUCAUACUUUUUUCAAUUAAUUGAAGGUCUUGAAUAUCUACACAGCCGUGGCAUAGUCCAUCGAGAUAUCAAACCUGGCAAUUUACUACUAACCAAUGAUGACUUAAUUAAAAAUUACUGACUUCGGCGUUGCUGAAGAAGUCGAUUUUUUUGAUUCAGGUAUAAGACUACUCACUUCUUCCGGCUCUCCCGCUUUCCAGCCACCAGAAGUGGUAAAAAGCGACCAACGCCCAUCCAGCGUUUUUAAGACUGAUAUUUGGGCUGCUGGCGUAACACUAUACCGAGUAGUCGUAGGAAAACUUCCCUUUGAUGGUCUCGACAUAUAUGAGCUGUUUGGAAAUAUUUCUAGGGGCGAGUAUACCAUCCCUGCCUUUAUACCCGACCACCUGGCCGACCUGAUAACCGGUCUUUUAGCUUCUGAUCCUCAAAAGAGAUUAUCCAUUUCGCUUAUAAAAUCACACCCGUGGGUUAUACAAGUGCAUCCUCACGACUUCCCACCAGCAAGUUUUCCUUUUGGAAGGCCAGAAAAGAUAUAGUAAAUUUUAUUAAGAAAGAAACACUUGGAAGAGGGGAUUAUCAAUUAAUUUUUAUCAGCUAAACACAAGCAAUGU